UACGUAGGGUGCAAGCGUUGUCCGGAAUUAUUGGCGUAAAGAGCUCGUAGGCGGUUUGUCGCGUCUGCUGUGAAAUCCCGAGGCUCAACCUCGGGUCUGCAGUGGGUACGGGCAGACUAGAGUGUGGUAGGGGAGAUUGGAAUUCCUGGUGUAGCGGUGGAAUGCGCAGAUAUCAGGAGGACACCGAUGGAGCGAAGGCAGAUCUCUGGGCCAUUACUGACGCUGGAGGAGCGAAAGCAUGGGGAGCGAACAGG
rnacentral:rRNA from 1 species